AUUGCUUCUCGGCCUUUUGGCUAAGAUCAAGUGUAGCAUCUGUUCUUAUCAGAAAACUGUCUCCAAUAGUCUUGGAUGUUUGAGUUCUUGGUCCCCAAUUGGCGGUGCUCUUUGGAGAAGUUUGGGUCAUACCGCACUGUAGGAGGAAAUAUGUCAUUUGGAGAGUAGACAUUUCCCCCCUCCCUCCCUCU